GACGAACGCUGGCGGCGUGCUUAACACAUGCAAGUCGAGCGGUAAGGCCCUUUCGGGGUACACGAGCGGCGAACGGGUGAGUAACACGUGGGUGACCUGCCCUCAGCUCUGGGAUAAGCCUGGGAAACCGGGUCUAAUACUGGAUAUGACUCCAUGACGCAUGUUGUGGGGUGGAAAGCCUUGUGCGGCUGAGGAUGGGCCCGCGGCCUAUCAGCUUGUUGGUGGGGUGANGGCCUACCAAGGCGACGACGGGUAGCCGGCCUGAGAGGGCGACCGGCCACACUGGGACUGAGACACGGCCCAGACUCCUACGGGAGGCAGCAGUGGGGAAUCUUGCGCAAUGGGCGAAAGCCUGACGCAGCGACGCCGCGUGAGGGAUGACGGCCUCGGUGUAAC
rnacentral:rRNA from 1 species